GGAGAGAUGGCUGAGUCCGGUUGAAAGCGCUCGACUCGAAAUCGAGUAGACGAUGAAAAUCGUCUCGAGAGUUCGAAUCUCUCUCUCUCCGCCA
rnacentral:tRNA from 1 species